CAGGUAGGCGGUUAUGUAAGUUGGGGGUGAAAUCCUAUGGCUCAACCAUAGAACUGCCUUCAAUACUGCAUAGCUUGAGGCCAGAAGAGGAGAGCGGAAUUCCCGGUGUAAGGGUGAAAUCUGUAGAUAUCGGGAGGAACACCAGUGGCGAAAGCGGCUCUCUAGUCUGGAUCUGACGCUAAUCUGCGAAAGCUCGGGGAGCAAACAGGAUUAGAUACCCUGGUAGUCCGAGCCGUAAACGAUGAGCACUAGGUGUUGGGGGUAACCCUUCAGCGCCGUAAGUUAACACGUUAAGUGCUCCACCUGGGGACUACGACCGCAAGGUUAA
rnacentral:rRNA from 1 species